AUGCUUCUGCAAGAAGAUACGGCUACAGAAAAGGCUAAUGAAAUCUUGUCAACAGAUGCAGAGGCAUCACCUUGUGUUACAGACCAGAUAGACUUAAAUCCCACCUUAUACGAUUUCUUGUUAGUUCUUAUGGAAGACUGCAUUACUUUGUGUGUGGCGUGCUGCCUUAGCAAUACACCUGUCUAUCCAGAGAGGCGAUUUUUCUUCCGCGGCAUUGGAAAUGUCACCUUAAAUUGUCACUUGAAGGUAGAAUUGCUCCUGAGCCAAAUGAUACUGUAUAUAACUGCAAACAUCGUCUCCCCCAGCGUUUUAUCUAUGGAGAAGGCUGGAGUUCCUGUCAAUUGUAAUAAAAUCCAAAUGCUUCUUAAUAACUGGAGUGAAGUCAAAAGGAACCACAACAAUGAGGAAUUAGAGAUUAGCAGCUGUAAUCAUGGACUAAUUGAAACAAUAGCCUAUUAACUGGUGUCUUGGCGGUCCUUGCAGAUGCAGGAAGCAAUACGUAACUGAAGUUGGCAUUACUAAGCACAGGGACUCGUCCUUCAUAAUGAAACCCUUGCCUUGCCAGGAAGAGACCUCACACCUUCCCUUUCAGUGAGAAUAUGCAGAGUAAUGACUUCCUCAGAGCGUAUGGAAGUCUUAAAUGCUAAUCGCUGGCAUUUAGUUAAGUUCCACAAUUAGGAAAACAUUUCAUGCUGAAGAACUACAAACCCAGCUUAGCUCUGUACCAUCAACAGUCAGAGAUGCAAACUCUCGCUCUGUAAACAAAUUAUUUUGUUGUCUGAGUUUGUUUCCGAAGUAGGUAGAUAUCACAUCAUUACGACAGGGCAUGUUUAAGUAACUCAAUCAAUAUUAAUGGAGUGAAUAUUAACAUGUCAGCUUCAGCAAAGCAGCUGCGGGGAGCGUUUGGAAAGGUCACCUCUUCCGAGGAUGCCCACCAGCAGCAAUCCCCUCCAGUUUGGAGCGUGGACCUGUUUGCUGCACGGGGGGAGCUGCGGCUAGUAUGGAAGGCUGGCUGCAAUGCAGGGAGCCUUUGGGUCACCUCGCAGAGAUGGAGCACUCCGAGCAAGCAGCCCUUCAGGUGCCUGCUGAAGGAACACGCACACCCAUGCUCUUGCUCGUGGCAGCUGCCCGCAGCCAAGAGAGGCACUGCAGAACUCUGCCUAGAUGCCGAAAUGACACGUUAUUUCCUGGGCAGCCUGUUGGUUAACACAGCUGGUGCUGGAGAAGAAAGGACCUGGCGGAGUUCAACCCUUCAAAAAUAAACGCUCCUUGGGGAAAGGAAAGGAGGGAAAA
rnacentral:lncRNA from 1 species